GACGUAGGGCGCGAGCGUUGUCCGGAUUUAUUGGGCGUAAAGAGCUCGUAGGCGGCUUGUUGCGUCGACCGUGAAAACCCGGGGCUCAACUUCGGGCUUGCGGUCGAUACGGGCGGGCUAGAGUUCGGUAGGGGAGACUGGAAUUCCUGGUGUAGCGGUGAAAUGCGCAGAUAUCGGGAGGAACACCUAUGGCGAAGGCAGCUCGCUGGGACGUUACUGACGCUGAGACGCGAAAGCGUGGGGAGCAAACAGG
rnacentral:rRNA from 1 species